AAGUCGUAACAAGGUCUCCGUAGGUGAACCUGCGGAGGGAUCAUUACUGAGAUAGGGUUCUCACGAGCCCGACCUCCAACCCUUUGUUUACAAACCACUGUUGCCUCGGCGGGCCGCCGGCGCCCUUUACUGGGCGCCGCCGUCGGCCUCGUGCUCUCGAGCGCCCGCCGCAGGACCAACCAAAACUCUUUAUCAACAAGCAUGUCUGAGUGGAUAUUUAAUGCUUCAAAAAAAA
rnacentral:misc_RNA from 1 species